GAGGAGGUGCCGUUGACUGGAUAGACAGGCGGUGAGUUGAUCGUAGGGAUUUAAAUGUUGGUCAAAAGGGAAUACAAUUAUGAUGAGGGGCGAACGAAACUCUGUGUCCUAGCUAGCUAGCUACCAACCAACCAGUUACCGAUGUCCCGCCAUGUGUAACGGAGUCCUAGCUAGCUACCAACCAACCAGUUACCGCUGCCUCCCGCCUUGUGUAACGGAGUCCUAGCUAGCUACCAACCAACCAGUUACCGCUGCCUCCCGCCUUGUGUAACGGAGUCCUAGCUAGCUACCAACCAACCAGUUACCCCUGCCUCCCACCCUUGUGUAACGAGAGUCCUAGCUAGA
rnacentral:lncRNA from 1 species